CCUGAGAAACCCAAAAGAUCGAAUGGGGAGAUUCAUCGUCAGCUCAUUUUGUAUAUGUAUGAGUUACGAUGCGGGUUACUACUUGUAGUAUUGCCUGCACGUUCUUGUAUAUUUAGUUGCAAGAUGUUGUCGGCGUGCACUUCUUCCCUAGUAGGACGUCGCGACCCGUUGGGUGUCGGUCUACGGCCCAAGUGAUAGCCUUUAAUGUAAUUUAAAAAUCAUUGAAGAUCCUUGGUGUUUUCUGACCGGCUACUCGGCGGUACUCGUACGGUAUUUAGCCGCUAAUUUAUUAGCGUCCAUGUCCGUCACAAGCGAGGCCAUUUUACUGAUAGUGCGGACUUAGUGCCGUCGUUGGUAUUGGCCAGCUGUUGGUUGUACGUGAUUCUGGGACUGGCUAAAAUUAAUUACCGGUCGGCGAUGCUACUGCUUUGGGUACUUUCAGG
rnacentral:rRNA from 1 species